rnacentral:rRNA from 1 species
UUGCUGCUUUGCUGACGAGUGGCGGACGGGUGAGUAAUGUCUGGGAAACUGCCUGAUGGAGGGGGAUAACUACUGGAAACGGUAGCUAAUACCGCAUAACGUCGCAAGACCAAAGAGGGGGACCUUAGGGCCUCUUGCCAUCGGAUGUGCCCAGAUGGGAUUAGCUAGUAGGUGGGGUAACGGCUCACCUAGGCGACGAUCCCUAGCUGGUCUGAGAGGAUGACCAGCCACACUGGAACUGAGACACGGUCCAGACUCCUACGGGAGGCAGCAGUGGGGAAUAUUGCACAAUGGGCGCAAGCCUGAUGCAGCCAUGCCGCGUGUAUGAAGAAGGCCUUCGGGUUGUAAAGUACUUUCAGCGGGGAGGAAGGGAGUAAAGUUAAUACCUUUGCUCAUUGACGUUACCCGCAGAAGAAGCACCGGCUAACUCCGUGCCAGCAGCCGCGGUAAUACGGAGGGUGCAAGCGUUAAUCGGAAUUACUGGGCGUAAAGCGCACGCAGGCGGUUUGUUAAGUCAGAUGUGAAAUCCCCGGGCUCAACCUGGGAACUGCAUCUGAUACUGGCAAGCUUGAGUCUCGUAGAGGGCGGUAGAAUUCCAGGUGUAGCGGUGAAAUGCGUAGAGAUCUGGAGGAAUACCGGUGGCGAAGGCGGCCCCCUGGA